rnacentral:rRNA from 1 species
CCUGCUAGUUGCCAGCGGGUCGAUGCCGGGGACGUCUAGCGGAACUGCCAGCGUAAGCUGCGAGGAAGUGGGGAUGACGUCAAAUCAGCACGGCCCUUACGUCCAGGGCUACACACGUGUUACAAUGGCCAGUACAGAGGGCAGCCACCCCGCGAGGGGGCGCUAAAUCCUAAAAAGCUGGUCCCAGUUCGGAUCGGAGUCUGCAACCCGACUCCGUGAAGCUGGAUUCGCUAGUAAUCGCGCAUCAGCCACGGCGCGGUGAAUACGUUCCCGGGCCUU